AGGAUUCCCCUAGUAACUGCGAGUGAAGCGGGAAAAGCUCAAAUUUAAAAUCUGGCGGUCUUUUGGCUGUCCGAGUUGUAAUCUAGAGAAGUGUUAUCCGCGCUGGACCGUGUACAAGUCUCCUGGAAUGGAGCAUCAUAGAGGGUGAGAAUCCCGUCUUUGACAUGGACUGCCAGGGCUUUGUGAUGCGCUCUCAAAGAGUCGAGUUGUUUGGGAAUGCAGCUCAAAAUGGGUGGUAAAUUCCAUCUAAAGCUAAAUAUUGGCGAGAGACCGAUAGCGAACAAGUACCGUGAGGGAAAGAUGAAAAGAACUUUGGAAAGAGAGUUAAACAGUACGUGAAAUUGCUGAAAGGGAAACGCUUGAAGUCAGUCGCGUUGUCCAGGGAUCAUCCUUGCUUUUGCUUGGUGCAUUUUCUGGUUCGACGGGUCAGCAUCAAUUUUGAUCAUUGGAAAAAGGCUAAGGGAAUGUGGCAUCUUUGGAUGUGUUAUAGCCCUUGGUCACAUACAAUGGUUGGGAUUGAGGAACUCAGCACGCCGCAAGGUCGGGUUUUAAACCACGUACGUGCUUAGGAUGCUGGCAAUAUGGCUUUAAUCGACCCGUCUUGAAACACGGACCAAGGAGUCUAACAUGCCUGCGAGUGUUUGGGUGGAAAACCCGAGCGCGUAAUGAAAGUGAAAAGUUGAGAUCCCUGUCGUGGGGAGCAUCGACGCCCGGACCAGACCUUUUGUGACGGUUCCGCGGUAGAGCAUGUAUGUUGGGACCCGAAAGAUGGUGAACUAUGCCUGAAUAGGGUGAAUCCAGAGGAAACUCUGGUGGAGGCUCGUAGCGAUUCUGACGUGCAAAUCGAUCGUCAAAUUUGGGUAUAGGGG
rnacentral:rRNA from 1 species